CCUCCUCAUCCCUACCUACCUCAAAUGCAUUUUAUGAGGAUAACUGUGGAUACGUGUACAAAGUCCAAGUCAAUGGGAAAAAUCUCCAAAAUCAAUUUGUCACGUCAAUGCUGUUUUAUGCAGCCAACAUUUACAAUAAUUCAGUAUCACAUAUGACAGAAUCCCAGGGCUACAAGUGUUCUUCGAAGGAUCCUCACUUUUCAACAAGAUGUCACCAGACACUUUAUAGGCAAGUGUGUUUAUAGCGUACUCCCAACCUCCCUCAUGCAGCCUUUACUGAAAGAAGUGGCGUCACAUCCGCGGGCAGACUGACAGAAGAGGACGACAAAGAGGAUGUGGAGAAAGGGCCAUCCUGGCGCAGCGUGGCCAAGACAUGCACCCUGCUGUACUCAAAUCACCCGAAAAACCAAGCUCAGCAUAACAGGAUCUUCCUCCAGGUCUUCUGUGUGAAGCUUGAGCUUCAGCCAGGAGCAAAUCAGAAAGCAGCUUUCUUCAGCAGACUUCUGAGGGUCACGUGCCUAAGAAGAUGUUUCCGUAUGAGCCCUGAAUAGAAGAUGUGCACUUUCCAAGCUGUUCAAGCCAUGGACACAAGCCAGUUUUCAAGCUCUGCCGUCAUUUGGCUCUGACCUGCCUCCUAGCUCCUCUUCGGAUUCCGUCAGGCGUUGCCUCAGCGCUGCGAUCAUCUCCACGGCCACAUCCACCUGUCUAUUCAGGGCCCG